rnacentral:rRNA from 1 species
UACGUAGGUCCCGAGCGUUGUCCGGAUUUAUUGGGCGUAAAGCGAGCGCAGGUGGUUUAUUAAGUCUGGUGUAAAAGGCAGUGGCUCAACCAUUGUAUGCAUUGGAAACUGGUAGACUUGAGUGUAGGAGAGGAGAGUGGAAUUCCAUGUGUAGCGGUGAAAUGCGUAGAUAUAUGGAGGAACACCGGUGGUGAAAGCGGCUCUCUGGCCUGUAACUGACACUGAGGCUCGAAAGCGUGGGGAGCAAACAGG